CGUAGGGGCUAGCGUUAUCCGGAAUUACUGGGCGUAAAGGGUGCGUAGGUGGUUUCUUAAGUCAGAGGUGAAAGGCUACGGCUCAACCGUAGUAAGCCUUUGAAACUGGGAAACUUGAGUGCAGGAGAGGAGAGUGGAAUUCCUAGUGUAGCGGUGAAAUGCGUAGAUAUUAGGAGGAACACCAGUUGCGAAGGCGGCUCUCUGGACUGUAACUGACACUGAGGCACGAAAGCGUGGGGAGCAAACAGGAUU
rnacentral:rRNA from 1 species